rnacentral:rRNA from 1 species
AGAGUUUGAUCCUGGCUCAGGACGAACGCUGGCGGCGUGCUUAACACAUGCAAGUCGAACGGAAAGGCCCUUCGGGGUACUCGAGUGGCGAACGGGUGAGUAACACGUGGGUGAUCUGCCCUGCACUUUGGGAUAAGCCUGGGAAACUGGGUCUAAUACCGAAUAUGACCAUGCGCCUCCUGGUGUGUGGUGGAAAGCUUUUGCGGUGUGGGAUGGGCCCGCGGCCUAUCAGCUUGUUGGAGGGGUAAUGGCCUACCAAGGCGACGACGGGUAGCCGGCCUGAGAGGGUGACCGGCCACACUGGGACUGAGAUACGGCCCAGACUCCUACGGGAGGCAGCAGUGGGGAAUAUUGCACAAUGGGCGCAAGCCUGAUGCAGCGACGCCGCGUGAGGGAUGACGGCCUUCGGGUUGUAAACCUCUUUCAGCACAGACGAAGCGCAAGUGACGGUAUGUGCAGAAGAAGGACCGGCCAACUACGUGCCAGCAGCCGCGGUAAUACGUAGGGUCCGAGCGUUGUCCGGAAUUACUGGGCGUAAAGAGCUCGUAGGUGGUUUGUCGCGUUGUUCGUGAAAACUCACAGCUUAACUGUGGGCGUGCGGGCGAUACGGGCAGACUUGAGUACUGCAGGGGAGACUGGAAUUCCUGGUGUAGCGGUGGAAUGCGCAGAUAUCAGGAGGAACACCGGUGGCGAAGGCGGGUCUCUGGGCAGUAACUGACGCUGAGGAGCGAAAGCGUGGGGAGCGAACAGGAUUAGAUACCCUGGUAGUCC